GUGCUUGCUUUGGCAGCACAUGCACUAAAGUGGGAACGAUACGGAGAAGAUUAGCCUGGCCUCUGCGCAAGGAUGACACAAAUUGGUGAAGUGUUGCACAUUUUU
ensembl:snRNA U6 U6 spliceosomal RNA